rnacentral:tRNA from 1 species
GCGCGUGUAGCUCAGUGGUUAGAGCAUCACAUUGACAUUGUGAGGGUCGAAGGUUCGAUUCCUUCCACGCGCACUA